rnacentral:tRNA from 1 species
GGAGCGGUGGCAGAGCGGACUAAUGCACCGGUCUUGAAAACCGGAGGCCUGCAAGGGCCCGGGGGUUCGAAUCCCUCCCGCUCCG